AAUACGUUUUGUAAUUUGAAUAUGCUCCAUUACGCAAGACUUUGUGUCACCCAGACCGUUGCGUAAGAACGAUGGUGUUACCUGCCAAGCGUGAAACAGUUUUUCACACUUACUACAAGGGGCCAGUUCCAACUAAUGGAGUCAGCCGCUACCAGAAGUAAGAUUAUGAAUUCCCUACAGCCUGGCUCAAAGGUGGAGAGGUUCAUGAUGUGGACAGGCUGUGCAGCCCCUGACUGUGGCUGGAACUGGUACCUGGGGUCAGAUGACACCAAAGCAGGAGACAGCUAAGAAAGGCCAGCCCUCCUGGAUACAGACUCCCCUUUCCCUCCCUGCAG